AGAAGCAGCCAUCCUUUAAAGAGUGCGUAAUAGCUCACUAGUCGAGUGGCUCUGCGCCGAAAAUGUACCGGGGCUAAACAUAUUACCGAAACUGUGGAUUUAUGCGAUAGCAUAAGUGGUAGGGGAGCGUUCUAAGGGCGACGAAGAUAGAUCGAGAGGACUAUUGGAGCGCUUAGAAGUGAGAAUGCCGGUGUGAGUAACGUAAGGUAGGUGAGAAUCCUACCCACUGAUUGACCAAGGAUUCCAGGGUCAAGUUCGUCUACCCUGGGUAAGUCAGGACCUAAGGCGAGGCUGAGAAGCGUAGUCGAUGGACAACAGGUUUAUAUUCCUGUACUAUUUAUAGGACUGAAGGAGUGACAAAGGAAGCUAGUAAGAGCCAUUUAAUGGAUUAUGGUCUAAGCACAAAGACUGAUACAUAGGAAAAUCCGUGAUAUCGAACGGUUGAAGUGUGAUGGCGAAGCAGUCUACGGACAGCGAAGUCUUAUGAGGCUAAACUUUUUAAAAAAGCUUCUAAAGAAAUGCUAUAAAUACCUGUACUAAGAACCAACGCAGGUGGUCAAGGAGAGAAUCCUAAGGUGAGCGAGAGAACUAUGGUUAAGGAACUCGGCACAAUGAUCCCGUAACUUCGGAAUAAGGGAAGGUCUUGAAAAAGACCCGCAGUGAAUAGGCCCAAGCGACUGUUUAUCAAAAACACAGGUUUCUGCAAAAGCGUAAGCUGAAGUAUAGGAGCUGACGCCUGCCCAGUGCUGGAAGGUUAAGAUGAUUUGUAAGAUGGACGAAAGUCGAUAACAUCGAAGCAAUGAAUUGAAGCCCCAGUGAACGGCGGCGAUAACUAUAAUCGUCCAAAGGUAGCGAAAUUCCUUGUCAGGUAAGUUCUGACCCGCACGAAAGGCGUAACGAUUUGGGCGCUGUCUCAACCAUAGACUCGGUGAAAUCUUAAUACCUGUGAAAAUGCAGGUUACCAGCGACAGGACGAGAAGACCCCAUGGAGCUUUACUGUAGCUUGAUAUUGAAUUCAGGUAGUUCAUGUAGAGGAUAGGUGGUAGACUUUGAAGUUAGGACGCUAGUCCUAAUGGAGUCGACCUUGGAAUACCACCCUUGGACUAUUUGAUUUCUAACUUGCACCCAUUAUCUGGGUGGAGGACAGUGUCUGGUGGGCAGUUUGACUGGGGCGGUCGCCUCCCAAAGAGUAACGGAGGCGCUCAAAGGUUCCCUCAGAUUGGUCGGAAAUCAAUCAAAGAGUGUAAUGGUAUAAGGGAGCUUGACUGCGAGACCAACAAGUCGAGCAGGUGCGAAAGCAGGACAAAGUGAUCAGGCGGUAGAAUAUGGAAUUGCCGUCGCUUAACGGAUAAAAGUUACCCUGGGGAUAACAGGCUGAUACCACCCAAUAGUUCACAUAGACGGUGGUGUUUGGCACCUCGAUGUCGGCUCGUCACAUCCUGGAGGUGAAGUCGCUUCCAAGGGUUGGGCUGUUCGCCCAUUAAAGUGGCACGCGAGCUGGGUUCAGAACGUCGUGAGACAGUUCGGUCUCUAUCCGUCGUGGGCGUAGGAAAAUUGAGGAGAGCUGUUCCUAGUACGAGAGGACCGGAAUGGACAUACCUCUGGUGUAUCUGUUGUAACGCCAGUUGCAGCGCAGAGUAGCUAUGUAUGGACGGGAUAACCGCUGAAAGCAUCUAAGCGGGAAGCCUCCUCCAAGAUGAAUUUUCCCAUUCUUCGUGAAGUAAGAUUCCUUGUAGACUACGAGGUUGAUAGGCUGGAGAUGGAAGCAUAGUGAUAUGUUGAGUUGACCAGUACUAAUAAAUCGAGGAUUUAACUA
rnacentral:rRNA from 1 species